AAUUUCCUCUCUCAACAAAAAGUUCUUACGGCCGUUGGAUGGCAUUGUUUUAUUGGAUUUGUCAUUUAAUUUGAUAACCAAACUUCCAAAGAGACUGUUUAAUAAUGUGCCUUCCUUGAGGAUAUUAUAUUUGCAGCAUAACAAAAUCACAACUUUGGACGACAGCGCGUUCCUUG